rnacentral:snRNA from 1 species
AGCUCUGCAGUGGCAGUAUCAUAGCCCCUUAUCUAAGGCACGAUCAUUGCUAAUUGAGAACUAUUCCCAAUACCUCGCCAUGAUGACUUGAAAUAUGGUCUGCAAUAGCAAUUUCUUU